rnacentral:misc_RNA from 1 species
UCUCCGUAGGUGAACCUGCGGAGGGAUCACUACAGAGUUCAUGCCCUACCGGGUAGAUCUCCCACCCUAUGUUAUUAUUACCUUGUUGCUUUGGCGGGCCGUUAGGCUCCGGCCCGACUACCGGCCCCGGCUGGUAAGCGCCCGCCAGAGGACCCAAAACCCUGAAUAUUAGUGUCGUCUGAGUACUAUAUAAUAGUUAAAACUUUCAACAACGGAUCUCUUGGUUCUG